UUUCCACCAUCUUAGAUUGUAUUGAUUAUUCUUUGCUGUAACGUCUGUCUCUCACACACGCUCUUUUUCUCUCCCUUUCUGUCCCUCCCUCCCUCUUUCUGCCUCUGUUCUGCCACCUUCUCUACUCUGCGAUCAGCAUUUGGCUUUUUCCAUUUGUGGCAGAUUACUGUAACGCUAUUGUACAACAACUUCCUGCCUCUUUUGGCUCUGGUUCUAAAAACUGUAAAGGCAGAGCUGGUGGCUUCAACUUUUUCCCCUCGGCCUUGAACUACAGGAGCUCUAUAAGGAAAGAAAAGAAGGAAGGAGAUAUGUGUGUGUCUGUUACUGAGGAACUAUUUUCAUUGCAUUUCUACUUUAUAAACAGCUGAGAAUUAAAGAGGGCAAGAGGGGACUACAUGCCUUGCAGAGACAAUGAAAAAGGCUUCUGAAAGAAGAAGAGGAGGAAAAGAGCAAAGAAGAGUUUCUCCUGGGAACAAGCUGGAAAUUACGGACCUAUUCGAUAUCAGACCUCAGAGUGGACAACCUAUCCAAAGAGGGACGCGCCCUAACUGUAACUAACAACUACUUCUGGCAGCCCUUCAACAGCCAAACAUAUUGUCCUGGAUCAGGGCAGCUUUCAUAUGGCAGCAUCAAACUAGGGCAACUUAGAAAAGAAAUCCACAUCAAACUACAGAAUCAAUAAUGGUAUUAAAAUGUUGAUAACAAUGCAUUAAAGCUAAAUUAAUGUGCUUUUUAAUGAGAUAUAGAUUGGGCUGUAAACUAGAACCACUUCUCAUCAUUUGCUCAACUUUAAAUAUGUUAAAGUGAUAGAGACUAGGGAGAAGGCAAAUUAAACUAAGAUUUUUCUAUUAAAUAUUAUCAUAUAUAACCCACCUGUACACAUACGUUUUUUAUUCCUGUGAUAUUACAAGAAUAGAAUCAAAACCUGAUACAACAUCGUAUACUGAUGCAACCAUACUUUCCGAAGAGCCACGUUUUCAGUUGAAGCUAUACAAAACAACAAAACAAAACUACAAUAUUGCAGAAGUAAGCACAACAUGUUGUACUUUGUUGUAAUUGUAUUGUAAUCAUUUGAUAUAAAAAAAGGUCAUAUUAAUUUAAGAAUUCCUUUAAAUAGAGUUGGAAUGUAUCAAUUGUAAUACCUUUACCUUUACAUUAUUGUCAUCAUGAGAGAUAUUUCAGUGUACACUUGUAUAAUUUCAGCAGCAUAAAUAAUGGUUAUUAUUAUUAUUGUGUUAGUUAAACUGCAGUGUAAAAAUACUGAGCUAAGGCACAGGGACAAAUUCUCAAAAGUCAACGAUGGGUUAUAAUUAAAAAUAAAAUGAUCCUUUUCUGUCCAC